rnacentral:piRNA from 1 species
UCUUACACUGAAUAGCCUCAAGCUCUAAA